rnacentral:rRNA from 1 species
GUCUACGGCCAUGCCACUCUGAACAUGCCCGAUCCCGUCUGAUCUCAGAAGCUAAGCAGGGUUGGGCCUGGUUAGUACUUGGAUGGGAGACCUCCUAGGAGGACCAGGUGCUGUAGGAG